UACGGAGGGUGCAAGCGUUAUCCGGAUUUACUGGGUUUAAAGGGUGCGUAGGUGGGUCGGUAAGUCAGCGGUGAAAUCUUCGAGCUUAACUCGGAAACUGCCAUUGAUACUAUCGAUCUUGAAUCAUCUAGAGGUAAGCGGAAUAUGUCAUGUAGCGGUGAAAUGCUUAGAUAUGACAUGGAAUACCAAUUGCGAAGGCAGGUUACUAACAAUAUAUUGACGCUGAUGGACGAAAGCGUGGGGAGCGAACAGG
rnacentral:rRNA from 1 species